GGUACCUGUAAUUAUAUAAUUCAAUACAAUUUGAUUGAUCAAUUUUUGAGAGAGAAACAAUACAUGAAAAAGAAAAAUGUGAUUUAAAAUUGAAAUUAAAAAAUUCACGUAAGUUAUCGUUGGUUUUAAAAGUCUUGGAAUAUUUAUGAAUUGCAGCAGAUAAUAUAGAAAGUCUUGAAAGAUAGAAGAAGUCUGAUGAGAUAAUAACUGUUAAGUAAGAUUCUUAACAGUUCCAGAUAUUCUAGUCAAUUUUGAAUAUCCGGAGAAACUUUAACAAGUUUUGAUUUCCUCGUUGGUUCCUUGUUGGUUUUAUUUAAUAAAACGUGGAAAUCUCAUUACUUCUGUUAAAAGUUUCAAAUUAUUUUUCCAAAAAUUUAAUUUGUACCAAGUUUUUUUAUUAAUUUAAAAUUAAUAUCAAGAAUGCUGGUUAAUGGAUUUCACAUUAAUGAUUUCAAACUUUUUGCUAUUUUACACGUAGUAAUUUUCACCUCUUCGAUUGCACGAUGCAGUUUCAAAAAUUUUUCACCCACGGAAACGAAGAUAGAUUGCCAAAGGAAUAUAUAUUAUAUUGACAUUCGUACGUGACAAUGCCAGUAUCGAUUCUCAUUUGAAUACCAUUGCUUUGCUCAUAACAUUCCUGUAAAUUCUGCCUAACACGCGAGUUCAUUAUCGAUCGAAUAUGCAAACGUAUCCGGUUUGCGUGAUAUGUGUGUCGUUACAUGUUUAAUCUCGAGCAUUAGCUAUUAUUUUGGAAAAGAUGAAAUUUGGUCAGAUAUCUGGUGACAGGAUUUCAAUGUCCUGAAAUACAAUUGCAGAUUUUUGAAUCAAAGGUUUGGUGUAUUAAAAUUAUUAAAACGUUUUUUUUUCAAUUCAUAUAUAUUUAUUUACAAGGAAUGAACAAUUGUUCUUCAAGUUUGUUUAACAAUAAUAAUAACGAGCACUUAAACUGGCUUACAUUCUCUGAAAAUCAAGAGAAGAAAGAAAAAAAAAGAAAGAAAAGAAGAUGGAUGUCACGAAAAAUAAAUCUUACUACUAUUUCUUUUUCGUUUAUUCCAUGUUUGGAAUUUUUCCUCCUUCUAUAAAUCAUUCGAGUUAUCACAGAUUUCUUGGUUUUCCGUCGUUGGUUUCUGCUUCCUGUUUCUUUUUCUUUUGAUUUUUUUUACUUUUUGUCCUUUUCGAUUCAACUAGAUUCUAUUGAAUACAAGAUGAAAAGUAUCGAUUCGCAAUUCUUUUUAUUACAUAUUCAAUAUUAUUGAUCAUUCAAAUUUCAAAAACAAGAAUUUCACUGUAAUUGAAAUAUGAAUUUUAUUUGCAUAAUUGUGGCGCGUUGUGAAAUUCCUGUAUCAUAUGAUUUCUUCCAUGUAUCGAGUGAAAUUUAUCGAGGAUCCAUAUUCAUUCAUAUUUCCUUUUAUCUUUCAUAUUUGUUGACACAAAAGCUGGAUAGUUUGAUCAAUUUCCAAAGCGAGUGGUCAAAGAGGAUUAUUAAAUCGAUCGAGAAUUACUAAUAUCGUCAUUUAUUUUGUAAAGGUUCAUUAUUAAACUGAUCGAGAAUUACUAAUAUCAUCAUUUAUCUUGUAAAAGCUUGUGAAUAAUCUAUGAGCCUUUCUCUACAAAUAGUUAAUGAUGGAGUAUCGAAUAACCGUAUUGAACUAAAUAAAUGCUAUAAAUUUAUUAUACAAUAUUUUUCAUAUAAAUAAUUUUGAUUAAAAAUAAUCGAGAUUUAUUUAUUGAAAAAUUUUAAAUAAGAAAAUUCCAGAUAAAAGAUUGAUAAAAGAUCUAGAUAAAAGUAGAAUAAUUAAUACAUACUCAUGGCCAUCUUGUUAUGAUUGAGAAUACAAGAUCCACAAUCCAUCAAUGAUUCACAUUCAUAUAUUCGAUUAUAAAAGGAUAGGAACAAUAAAAUAAAUUAUACAAAAGAUCGAAUACAGUCAUAAAGGAAUACAGGAAUACAGUCAUAAAUGUUGAGAAAGAGAUACGCAAGAAAGAGAUACGCAUUAAACCACAUUUUAAACUCUUGCAUCAUUGGAGUAAUAAAAUGAUUGCAAUAAAAUGUUAUUAAGUUAAUGCUUCGAAAUGAAUCACGAGAAAUUGUGUAAUGGAUGCAGCAACAACAUAUUGUAAUAUCGCAAUGAACGCUUUGACGAUGGAAUCACAGUCUACGGGCGAUCGAAUACCGAUAUCGAAUAAUUAAAGGAUAGUUUGCGACUAGUCAAAUCGAGACUGAUUGCAAUUAAACGAUUGCAUUACUAAUAAGAUGAAAGAGCGACUUUUGAAUGAUGCGAUUAUAUGUUGUUUUUAAUUGGAAAAAUAAAUAUAUAUAUACAUAGUCGUGCGACAAAAUGUUGUUCGCAUCGAGAUUUAAAUUGCAUUAAAUCAAUUAAGUUGGUGGAUUGCAAUACGAUAAAAAUUGUAAUUUAUAUUUGAUAUGAAGAAAAUAUAUGAUUCGAGAUUGAAAAUUGAUUGAAAAUUAAUUAUUUCAAUAAAUAAUGUAUCCAAAAA